CCUUAGAGUUUGAUCCUGGCUCAGAGCGAACGCUUUUGGCAGGCUUAACACAUGCAAGUCGAGCGGGCGUAGCAAUACGUCAGCGGCAGACGGGUGAGUAACGCGUGGGAACGUACCUUUUGGUUCGGAGCAACACAGGGAAACUUGUGCUAAUACCGGAUACGCCCUUACGGGGAAAGAUUUAUCGCCAAAAGAUCGGCCCGCGUCUGAUUAGCUAGUUGGUGAGGUAACGGCUCACCAAGGCGACGAUCAGUAGCUGGUCUGAGAGGAUGAUCAGCCACGUUGGGACUGAGACACGGCCCAAACUCCUACGGGAGGCAGCAGUGGGGAAUAUUGGACAAUGGGGGCAACCCUGAUCCAGCCAUGCCGCGUGAGUGAUGAAGGCCCUAGGGUUGUAAAGCUCUUUUGUGCGGGAAGAUAAUGACGGUACCGCAAGAAUAAGCCCCGGCUAACUUCGUGCCAGCAGCCGCGGUAAUACGAAGGGGGCUAGCGUUGCUCGGAAUCACUGGGCGUAAAGGGUGCGUAGGCGGAUCUUUAAGUCAGAGGUGAAAGCCUGGAGCUCAACUCCAGAACUGCCUUUGAUACUGGGGAUCUUGAGUUCGGGAGAGGUGAGUGGAACUGCGAGUGUAGAGGUGAAAUUCGUAGAUAUUCGCAAGAACACCAGUGGCGAAGGCGGCUCACUGGCCCGAUACUGACGCUGAGGCACGAAAGCGUGGGGAGCAAACAGGAUUAGAUACCCUGGUAGUCCACGCCGUAAACG
rnacentral:rRNA from 1 species